CUCAGACAAUUGCCAAGAAAAGUCAGUUACAGUACAGUGAAAGAAAAUCAAAGAAAAAAGAGAAUCCCCCUACAUGAAAAUCAGCAAGAUCAUUCAAUUCAGACGUUUGACGAUUCCCAAACAAAGACACAAUUGACCACUGAGGAAGACGCACAGUAGCGUCGAAAGCUCUGGCCCCUAAAAUUGAAAGGAUGUGUUUGGGUUGACCUACCGUCCCUUGGCUGACGCAAUUCGGAA